rnacentral:rRNA from 1 species
AUUGAACGCUGGCGGCAGGCCUAACACAUGCAAGUCGAACGAGUGGCGGACGGGUGAGUAAUGUCUGGGAAACUGCCCGAUGGAGGGGGAUAACUACUGGAAACGGGAGCUAAUACCGCAUACCAUCGGAUGUGCCCAGGUGUGAUUAGCUAGUAGGGGGGGUAACGGCUGACCUAGGCGACGAUCCCUAGCUGGUCUGAGAGGAUGACCAGCCACACUGGAACUGAGACACGGUCCAGACUCCUACGGGAGGCAGCAGUGGGGAAUAUUGGACAAUGGGCGCAAGCCUGAUGCAGCCAUGCCGCGUGUGUGAAGAAGGUCUUCGGAUUGUAAAGCACUUUCAGCGAGGAGGCGUUACUCGCAGAAGAAGCACCGGCUAACUCCGUGCCAGCAGCCGCGGUAAUUC